rnacentral:rRNA from 1 species
GACGAACGCUGGCGGCGUGCUUAACACAUGCAAGUCGAACGGAAAGGCCCUGCUUUUGUGGGGUGCUCGAGUGGCGAACGGGUGAGUAACACGUGAGUAACCUGCCCUUGACUUUGGGAUAACUUCAGGAAACUGGGGCUAAUACCGGAUAGGAGCUCCUGCUGCAUGGUGGGGGUUGGAAAGUUUCGGCGGUUGGGGAUGGACUCGCGGCUUAUCAGCUUGUUGGUGGGGUAGUGGCUUACCAAGGCUUUGACGGGUAGCCGGCCUGAGAGGGUGACCGGGCAAAAUGGGACUGGGAAAAGGCCCAGAAUCCUAAGGGAGGGAAGAGGGGGGAAAAAUGCAAAAUGGGCGGAAGCCUGAAGGCGGAAAGCCGGGGGCGGGAAGAAGGGCUUUGGGGUGGAAACCGCCUUCGCCUGGGAAGGAGGGGGAGGGAAGGUAAAGGGUAAAGGAGCAACGGCUAAAUAAGUG